rnacentral:rRNA from 1 species
AGGAUUCCCCUAGUAACGGCGAGUGAAGAGGGAAGAGCCCAGCACCGAAGCCUGCGGCAGUUUUGCUGUUAGGCAAUGUGGUGUUUGGGUCGGCUCGUGGGACCGCCACUCCACUCGAAGUCCAGCAUAGAGUAUGGUUUCUGGAUUUGGCCCAGAGAGGGUGAAAGGCCCGUACGGGUGGAGUAUCAGACAUGUGAGGUGGUUCACCAGGCCGGCCUUAGAGUCGGGUUGUUUGGGAAUGCAGCCCAAAGCGGGUGGUAAACUCCAUCCAAGGCUAAAUACUAGCACGAGUCCGAUAGCGAACAAGUACCGUGAGGGAAAGUUGAAAAGUACUCUGAAGAGAGAGUAAACAGUACGUGAAACCGCAUGCAGGUAAACGGGUGGCGUCAAGCUGCAGGCCCAGAGAAUUCAGUCGGCUAGGAUGUUGUGUAUGCGCCUGGCGCAUCUAUCAGUCGGAGUAUGAUUGGGUAGUCCACCAGUAAACGGUGGGCCUGGCCGCGAGGUCGGGAUAUGUGUACCGGACGGGUGCCGGAGCAUGCUAUCCAUCUGUGGACUGUCUAGCCGGUGCACUUUCUCUGUGGUCAACACCACGACCGGUGGUAUUGCCAGUCUGCUGUGUCCAAGUUGCAUCUGGUGGGUCCUCGUGGCCUACUGGGUGUGAUCACAGGCAAAGUCAGUAAACGGCGUAGAGGUGUCUCGGCACUUUUGCGUGUUAUCGGAUGCUGUUUGUGAACGGGCCUGCUCGGUGUUUGUUGUAACCGACGCUGGGUGGUCCGGUGGGACAUGGUGGUAAGAAUAACUGUGCAAGGCACCGGGGUUAUCGGCCUCAAAUGCGCCCUGCACCCACGUUGCAAGUGGUAUUUAAUAUCGGCGGUGUCGCUGCUGCCUGCCCGUUGUUGGGUGUGAUUGGCGUGUUGCCUGCUCAAAGUGGUAGGUCCGCCAGUGGCUCGACUCGGGAUGGGUAGUUGGCGGUGUUGUCGGUGUGGGGCGUCGUGGGCCAAAUA